AAACAUUCUUGCCAAUACAUAAACUAUUAUUAUGAUAUGAAAAUAUACAAAAUUUAAGAUUACAUAUCAUAUUGAAUUCCCAUGAUACAACAAACAAAAAGGUUGCCAGACUUCAGGCAUUUGUAAUAUCCAAUCACAAAAGGAAUCUUAAUCUCAGCUGGGUACAAUUAUGCAGAAAGGCGUCGAAUCCCUGUCCCCAAUUAUCCAAUCACGAGAAUCGUUUUCAAGCUUCCUGCUUCUCCCAAACUUCUUCAGUUUCAUGAAAACUCAGCACACACCUCGGUUUGCUUCCACUGCACUCAUUCUUUUCUUUUGUUCUUGUUUCUUCUCUCUCAUUGGUUUUAUAUCCACGUAACUUAGUUAAUAACAUAAGCUUCCACUAUAGCAUGACCAAUAACUAAUACAAUUUACAUACAAGGGGGUUUUCCCAAUCUACAAUUCUUAUCCGACUUAACUCGGUCUUUAAAUUAAAUCUGAAUCUAAAAAUUAAUAUAAAUUCAAAAUAUGAAAAGACAUAAAGACAUAACACAAUCGGGAUGUUACAAAAGCAGGGUAAUAGAGAUCCAACACAUUUGCAUAGUGUUGAUGGAUAUAUAUAAAAUUUUGCAGAUGAAAAAUAGAGAUAAUUCAGAUGACAUAAUGAACAAAUGGUAUGCAAUGUGAUUAUGAUUAAGAAUGUGAAUGUGGAAAAUAAAUUUAGAUUGCAUACAGAGCUGCAGGUGGUCUUUUGCAAGCCAAAUACUUGGUGUAAAUCAAAAUAUUGUGCAACAAUUAAUAGUGAGUGAUUUUGUAUUAAAGGCUGCCCUGAUUAAACUGACAUGAUUGAUCAAAAGGUUUUGUGCACAGAGGCUAUAUUUUGCCUAGUUCCUGGGCAUAUGUCGAGUUUAUUUCUAUUUUCCAUCACAUGAUAUGUAGAAUAAGUAGUCGGCUAUGUGAAUUUCAACAGCCAUGGAUGACAAGUUUGUAAUCAUAUUAUCACAUAAGAAGGUUACAACAACACAUAUUAUUUUUCUUAUGACUUCAAAACAUACAAAUGAUUGUAUACCAUAUUAAAUUCCCUGAAAUGAUAAAAAAGAAAAGCAGCCCACACAACAACAAUUUUCAUUAUUUAACAACAAAAGUAUGCCAAAUUAACUUGACAGUGUUGAACAACCAAGAAAUAAUCUAGAACAACUCAGUUUGAAGUCUAUGGAGUUGUUGCAGUAAGACAAAACAGUAUCAGUAACACGAACAAUCGAGAUAAAACCAGUCAUAUAGGAAGAUACUUAUUUAAUGGUUAAGCUUUUGGGAUCCGGUGAAACCAGCUCUGAAAGCCUUCAUAGAGAAACAAUCAAAGUGAAUAAAUUUAAAUCCAUAAUACGCUGAUUAUAAAAAGAAACCCGACUUACAUCUACAUUACCCAAGCAAAUACCCCUAUAUUGUGUGUAUCCCGUUUUAUAAUUUCAUCCCAUUGUAUAAUUUCAGAGCCCUAAUAUACCCACUCUAAAAUUACACAAAUUAGUUAUUCACAAGCAUGCUAACUAAGAUACUCAAGUUUGCGAUUCUUAUGAAACACCUACCUCAAUCUUCACUGACGCGUUCAAUCACCAAUAUCUGAAUCUCGACCGACGAUUUGACCUUCUUAAAAUCCCCUUCAAUACAGCUCGUGUACGAGUUCUCUUCUCAGUUCAUCAAUGGACGAUGCGAUUUCCAAGUUCUCCUCUCUUACCCCAGCGUCUGGAUAUAAAAAGCCUAAUUAACGACUUACCAUCACAAACCCCUUAACGACAUGCUGCCGACGAUUUUUCUAACCCUAGUUUUUUUUUUUUUUUUGAAAAGCCUGGUGAUGCCGGUGACCAGUUAACAAC
rnacentral:lncRNA from 1 species